rnacentral:rRNA from 1 species
AGCGUAGACGGAUGGGCAAGUCUGAUGUGAAAACCCGGGGCUCAACCCCGGGACUGCAUUGGAAACUGUUCAUCUAGAGUGCUGGAGAGGUAAGUGGAAUUCCUAGUGUAGCGGUGAAAUGCGUAGAUAUUAAGAGGAACACCAGUGGCGAAGGCGGCUUACUGGACAGUAACUGACGUUGAGGCUCGAAAGCGUGGGGAGCAAACA